GGCUCGCCUACUGCGCAGCCGCUUUUGGGUCUUAGCAACAGCAAGCACCUGCUUCAAACUGGUGGGACGUCAUUGCCCCCUACAAGACCGCUUUGAGAACUGCAGAAACAACCUGUCUUGGAAUCGGAUCUCCAAGAUGGUACUUAAAACACGAUUUAUCGUCGGUGCGUCUUUGGGGGCACUUUGGACCACGCCCUUCCUAACCAGAUCAUGACAUAUGGACAAAAUAAAAGUUUAUUGAACGUAUACAACACAGGUGUCAAACUCAAGGCCCGGGGGCCAGAUUCGGCCUGCCACAUCAUUUUAUGUGGCCUGCAAAAUUAAAGUGUCAACUCAAUGUUUCUUGUUUGAAUACCAAAAUUCUAAAUUGUCUUUCCUUUUAAUAACAAUGACAUAUUGCAACAUUUUUUUUGCUAUAAUCCCAAUUCCAAAAUAAAUUCUGUUGUAUGUAUGUGAUAAUAUCCACACACAUUCAUUUCUAUUUAAGUCAGUAAUGGCCCCACGCGGGAAUCCAUAACUCCGAUGUGGCCCGCAAAAAAAAAAAAAAACACCUUUGGUAUACAAGAUUUGGCGUUCUAUAUGCAUAUACAGGUUUAUUGCAUUGUUGCUUUGACUGCAAGGGAUGUUUUUCUCAAUUCCUACGCUCAGAAAGCAAAUUGUCCUAAUUUUGAACGGCAUCACGCUUGCACGCCUGCUGAGUGCAAUUAUGAAAAGCAGCUUGUGAUUGGUGCAGAGGACAGGGCCUAAAUUGAGCCCGUGUGUUAAAAGCAUCAGCAACAGCCAGACGCAAGAACAAGCCCAAGUCGCAACGCAGGCAGGACCCAGACAGCAAACACAUUCACCAAUGGCGAGUGACUUGUGUGUGAGGGUGCUUGUGUUCUGGCUGAUAGCCUUUGGACACCACGCUAUGGGAGGUGGUCCUCACCAUAGAAGUUAUGUUCGUCCUAGAAGCCAGGAGACUAGUUGGGAUCCGCAGCAAUAUAGUCAACUUCAGUCACGUUUUUUUGCUCCUUCUCAAAUCCAGCAGCACAGUGCAAGUUCCCCUCAGGAUGGUGCGGUUCUUGGUUCUAGUAGAGUGCUGUUUCCUCAAGUGGAAACAAUUUGCCCAAUCUGUCCUCCUUGCCGUAAGCCACGCCCUUGCCCUUUACCUGACUUUUGUCCUCCUCCAUACUGCAAGCGUGGCUAUCGUCCUUGCCCUUGCUCGCCAUCUUGCUGUAAGCGCAGCCGUAAGUGUCGCCCCAUGCAACCUUGGUAGGCUCCUCUCUGUCUAAGCAGGUUGACCAUUGAUGGUGUGCACUUCUUGGCUGUAAUUAUUAAAGCUGUGAAAU